GGCUGCGAUCAUCUCCAGGGGGCUCGAGAGGAGAAUACCCUCCCCUGCAGCUCUGAAGGUCCCCACAUUCCUGACUAUGGCCCCUUCCCCAUCGUCAAAGCCCACCUAUACCCCUGCCCAUCUAAAGACCCGCCCCCCACCCCAGGUAAUCCAGACUAAUCUCUCUACUCGAAGGCCAGCUAACUAGCAACCCUAAUUCCUCUGCAACCUUAGUUUCCCUUUGCCACAUAGUACAACAUAUUCGGUUUCCAGGGAUUAAGAAUGAGCAUCUUCGGAUGUGUGUGCCUACCACAGCCCCCACUUUACUAUCCUGGCCCCUGGCCACUGUCCCUGCAGAGCCUAAUGGGAAAAUCGGCCUUGAGCACGUGUUCCCACUUUAUAGCUGAGAAAACGGAAGCUCAGAGAGUGCGAGCAUCUCCCUAGCAGUCACACAGCAUAGAGCUGAGGUGCCAGCUCAGCCCUGCCUGCCUCUGAGUUUGAGAACAGGGUGCAGAGCUGCGGUCAGGAUCUGGGGGAAGGUCAUGCGGGGGCACUAAAGACAUCUGCCCCAACAGCACCUGGGAGGGCCUGGCUUUGGUGGGGAUGCGAAGGCCGGCCUAGCUCUUCGAAGCUCCCGGCACUCAAGCAGGAAGGCAACGCUGGCAGGCACUGACAACACGGGGGGCAGCGGUGCCAGGGGCUGCGUGAUUCAUGGUCCAGCAGAUGCCUCCCUGUACCAAUGUGCUGAUUCUUAAUAAAACAGAUUCAUUUAUCUCUGACAUUUAUGACCGGAGACAGAAAUCACAUUGGGGUAAAUGUAUUACUUUUCAAAUACAUGUUUGUUUCUUCUUCAUCACCUGCCGGUAAGCAGAUGCAGGUAACAGUUAUUUAUUUGAGGUCCCUAUUAACUGGUAAUUUAGUUGCUAACACGCUAUGGAAGAUACAAUUAUGCAGGUGAGAGCACUGUCUCUGGUGACGAGCCAGGCUGUAGAACUGGGUGGAGACCCUGCCACAGCCCUGCAACAUGGGGACUGUGACCCAGCGAGCCCAGAGAGGCCAGCAGCAGCUAAGGGGUGGUCCAACAGAAGUCAAGGACCCUGAGCUCUGAGACUGGGAACUGGGGAAUUCAAGGGACACCAGGGAAGGGGACAAUGGAUCAUCCUGGGGCCGCAGUGGGUCUGGAAGCAGGACACAAGCGUGGUAAAGAAGAGGAAGGGCUGAGGACUUGAGGGUGG
rnacentral:lncRNA from 1 species